rnacentral:rRNA from 1 species
CCCCCAAGUAGAGCGGCGAACGGGUGAGUAACGCGUGGGUGAUCUACCUUCGAGUGGGGAACAACACCGGGAAACUGGUGCUAAUACCGCAUGACAUCCUCGGGUCAAUCCGAGGAUCAAAGCCGGGGACCGCGAGGCCUGGCGCUUGAAGAUGAGCCCGCGUCCGAUUAGCUAGUAGGCGGGGUAACGGCCCACCUAGGCUUCGAUCGGUAGCCGGCCUGAGAGGGCGGACGGCCACACUGGGACUGAGACACGGCCCAGACUCCUACGGGAGGCAGCAGUGGGGAAUUUUUCGCAAUGGGGGAAACCCUGACGAAGCAACGCCGCGUGGAGGAUGAAGGCCUUCGGGUCGUAAACUCCUGUCGACCGGGAAGAAUGCACCUGACCUAAUACGUCGGCGUGUUGACUGUACCGGUGGAGGAAGCCACGGCUAACUCUGUGCCAACAGCCGCGGUAAUACAGAGGUGGCAAGCGUUGUUCGGAAUUACUGAGCGUAAAGGGCGCGCAGGCGGCCCGUCAAGUCCCGUGUGAAAGCCCCCGGCUCAACCGGGGAACGGCGCGGGAAACUAGCAGGCUUGAGUUCGGGAGAGGGAAGCGGAAUUCCGGGUGUAGCGGUGAAAUGCGCAGAUAUCCGGAGGAACGCCGGUGGCGAAGGCGGCUUCCUGGACCGACACUGACGCUGUGGCGCGAAAGCUAGGGGAGCAAACGGGAUUAGAUACCCCGGUAGUCCUAGCCCUAAA